rnacentral:rRNA from 1 species
UUUGGCAAGCUCCUGGACUUCUCGGUUGGUUCCGAACUCCGAAGUUAAGCGUGCUUGGGCGAGAGUAGUACUAGGAUGGGUGACCCCCUGGGAAGUCCUCGUGUUGCACUCC